UGGCGGUUUUUCAGUCUUGAAGAUGGAC
rnacentral:sRNA from 1 species